GUGCUAAGGUAGCAUAAUAAUUUGCCUUUUAAUUAAAGGCCAGAACAAAAGAUUAAACAUUUUAAAAUUUUUAUUAAAAUUAAAUUUUAAAAUUUUUUUAAAUGUAAAAAAACAUUUAUAAAAAAAAAAGACGACAAGACCCUAUUGAACUUUACUAAAGUUUAACUGGGGUAGUUUAUUAAUUAUUAUUUUAAUAAAAAUUUUAAUACAAAUAUCUAAUUAAAUUAAUAAUCAAGUUACCAUAGGGAUAACAGCGUAAUAAAUUUUUAAAGCACUUAUUAAAAAAAAAGAUUACGACCUCGAUGUUGAAUUAAUUAUCUAUUAUAAGAAACAAUAUAAAAAGAAAGUCUGUUCGACUUUUAAAUAAUUACAUGAUUUGAGUUCAAACCGGUGUAAGCCAGGUUGGUUUCUAUCUUUUAAAAAUUUUUUCAUAGUACGAAAGGACCAGAAUAAUUAAUAUUAUUUUCAUAUUAGCAGAAUAAUGCAUUAGAAUUAGAAUCUAAUUAAAUAAUU
rnacentral:rRNA from 1 species